rnacentral:rRNA from 1 species
GGGUUCGAUCAUGGCUCAGAACGUACGCUGGCGGCACGCCUAACACAUGCAAGUCGAACGAAGUAGCAAUACUUAGUGGCAGACGGGUGAGUAACAUGUAGGUAUCUACCCUUUGGCCUGGAAUAACACGAGGAAACUUGUGCUAAUACCGGAUAAGUCUUUACGGAGAAAGCUUUAUGCACCAUUGGAUGAGCCUGCACUUGAUUAGUUUGUUGGUGGGGUAAUGGCCUACCAAGACUGUGAUCAAUAGCUGAUUUGAGAGGAUGAUCAGCCACAUUGGGACUGAGACACGGCCCAAACUCCUACGGGAGGCAGCAGUGGGGAAUCUUGCACAAUGGAGGAAACUCUGAUGCAGCGAUGCCGCGUGAGUGAAGAAGGCCUUUGGGUUGUAAAGCUCUUUCGCUAGGGAAGAUAAUGACGGUACCUAGUAAAGAAGCCCCGGCUAACUCCGUGCCAGCAGCCGCGGUAAUUC